rnacentral:misc_RNA from 1 species
GAAAUGCGAUACGUAAUGUGAAUUGCAGGAAUCUGUGAAUCAUUAAAAUUUUGAACGCAAGUUGCAGCUCUGUUGAGGAGCUAUAUCUAUUUCAGUGUUGGUAAAAACAAAAAUCACAAAUAAAAUAGUUUUGUGGAAAUGAAUGUAUAAGUUUAUAUAAUAACUUAUUCAUUUAAAUUUUAUUGAAAAGUUUAACUUUAACUGUUAGUUUUUAUACUAAUAAUAAAGUAAAAAUCUUUUAAAAAUCAAGCAAUUUUAUUAAAAAAUCAACCUGAAAUUAGUUAAGAAUACCCGCUGAACUUAA